UACGUAGGGGGCAAGCGUUGUCCGGAUUUAUUGGGCGUAAAGGGCGUGUAGGCGGUUCGGUAGGUCCGUUGUGAAAACUCGAGGCUCAACCUCGAGACGCCGAUGGAAACCAUCGAACUAGAGUCCGGAAGAGGAGAGUGGAAUUCCUGGUGUAGCGGUGAAAUGCGCAGAUAUCAGGAAGAACACCCGUGGCUAAGGCGGCUCUCUAGUACGGUACUGACGCUGAGACGCGAAAGCGUGGGGAGCGAACAGG
rnacentral:rRNA from 1 species